UUUUUGACAAGGAUAUUGUCGCGCUUUCAGGAGGCCACACUCUGGUAUAUUUAUCACCAUUUGAUGGGACAUGAAGUCGAGAUGCAGGUGGUUUGAAAUACUUUGCCUCGUCGAUUUGGCGCUCCAGGUCUUCCAGAGUUGAAUGCAUCUCAGCUACAAUAAUCGGGCAAUUAUGGAGGCUGCUCAAGUACUGCUUUAUUUCGGAGUUGAACAAAUCAUCUAUGUUUCUGAAAUGACGCACUGCUAAAUAAAGGUUUUUAUUCUUAACUAUACCACUUCAAAGCACUAUUUCUUUUCAGAGUUUCUGAUUCAAGCACAUUCUAG